CACCUUCCAGCUUCCAUCCUUGCUGCUCUCAGACCAGCACAGAAUCAGGCCCAGGCUAGCCUGCUGGAGUGAGACACACCAUCACCCCCGCCAACCUAGCCAACAGCCAUCAGACCUCCAGACUUGGGCAGGGGGCCACUCUGGACCAACAGGCCCCCAGUGAACCCACCAGCUGACCAAAGAUGCAGGAGCCAGCUUAGCCGAGCCCAGCCAAGAUGUACUGAGAAAUAAUUGACAAAUGAAUUUGUAUAUACCUAAAGUGUACAAUGCAAGGAUUUGAUUUCACAUAUACAUUGUGAAAUAUUUACCACCAAGUUAAUUAACACAUUCAUCACCUCACAUCGUUACCUUUUGCAUGUGUGGGGUUAUACAGUUCCAAGUCUUACAUUUAAGUCUUCAAUCCACGUCAAGUUUUGGUGAGUGGUAUAAGAUAGGGGUCCAGGCCCACUCUUGUAUGGGGAUAUCCAGUUUCCCAACACCAUUUACUGAAGAAAGUAUCCUCUCUAUUGUGUACUCUUGACACCCUUGUCAAAGAUUCAUUGAACAUAAAUGCACAAGUCUAUUUCUGGGCUCCCAAGAGGCCCUUUUUGUUGGGACUUGAUUUAAUAUCCACAGGAAUCUACUGAAGAAUUUUAAAAGAGUCAAGUUUAAGGCUCCCAGAACAUUAGGUUUGAAGACUACAUGUCCAACUGCCUUUGAUGACCAAUGUCAAGGCCAAAUCCAGAGAUGGCAGAAAAAUCACCCAAAGUCACACAACAGAAGGACUCAGGGGAAAAGGCAGACGUCAUACCCAGGCCUCCUGGCCCCCAGCCCAGCCCUGCUUUGUGAAAAGAGCCUACCCACGAGCUCUCCUCCCCUCACCUGUGCCAGCUCCAGGCCCUGGCUGAUGGACAUAAUUGCUUAACAAACUUAAAGUCUUCUACAAAUAUGGAUAAUCUUCAUUACUUUUCCUGAAAAUCCUCUGGCAUUCCACUGGGAAGAGCUGAAUAUUCAAAUCACCCAGGUAGUUAAAACAGAUGCUAAUCUUUUAUUUACUUUAAUCCUGAAUUCUGUUCUUUUUCAUUUAGAGUCCCCUGGAUUUGAGGGUUGGGUGAAAGGGAGAAGCUCUAACUGUGUUGGCCGUGAUGCUCAUCUCCCUCAGAUCUUUACCAAUUGGGGGCCUUGGGGCACCCGCAGGUCAUGCUUAGGAAACCAAGUGACUUCAAACACGUUUCCCAGCUGUGAGUCUCCAAAACAUAGUUCCCACAAUACUGCCCCCCAACCCCGACAAGCCUAGUCAGCUCCCUGGGGCUUCCACCAGGCCAGACUGGUUCUACCCAGCUCAGCUCAGGGAUCAUGAGCGAUAGACCUGGACUGGGCUUGGGGUCAUGAAAAAAAUUAAAUGGCCACUGUGAUAAGGACAUCAGAGGGUCUCCGCAUGUCAGGGGCCAAACAGUAAGGGAGGGAGGCCUGCGGAGUAAGCACAGGGGCGGACAGCAUCGGGGAGAGUGAUUAUCUUGACCCUGGGCUGUCAAAAAAGGAAAGACCCUGUAGGAGUGGAGGAGGCCGGACAGGGUAUGACAGCAGUCCCCAGCAGGGACACCCUCUCCUCCGGGGGCUCACGGCUCCUCGGGCAUCUGGGAGAGUGUGUG